rnacentral:rRNA from 1 species
GACCAGACUCCUACGGGAGGCAGCAGUGAGGAAUAUUGGUCAAUGGGCGGGAGCCUGAACCAGCCAAGCCGCGUGAAGGAAGAAGGCGCCAAGCGUCGUAAACUUCUUUUGUCGGGGAACAAAGGGCGCCACGUGUGGCGUUGUGAGUGUACCCGAAGAAAAAGCAUCGGCUAACUCCGUGCCAGCAGCCGCGGUAAUACGGAGGAUGCGAGCGUUAUCCGGAUUUAUUGGGUUUAAAGGGUGCGUAGGCGGACGCUUAAGUCAGCGGUAAAAUUGCGGGGCUCAACCUCGCCGAGCCGUUGAAACUGAUGUUCUUGAGUGGGCGAGAAGUAUGCGGAAUGCGUGGUGUAGCGGUGAAAUGCAUAGAUAUCGCGCAGAACUCCGAUUGCGAAGGCAGCAUGCCGGCGGCGAUCUGACGCUGAGGCACGAAAGCGUGGGUAUCGAACAGGAUUAGAUACCCCUGUAACC